rnacentral:lncRNA from 1 species
CUCGUUAGCAUUUUGAUACAUCAGACGAUCUGCCAUAGCCUCCACUUGACUCGAAUUAAAUACACUCUACUCGAUCGGAUCGAAUCAAUUCAUAUUUUCAAAAUUAAGACGUUUGUUUACAAAAUUGAGCUAACAGUCACCAACCCAAAAUUUUGUGUUUGUUCUAGGAUAUUCCAUAUCUUUCUAGAUAUUCUUUAUGUGUGUCUUUGCCUUAUGCCAAUAGGAUAUGUAGUUAGACUAGAUCUAUGUAUUCAUAUCCUUACCAUACUGGUAAUGUGUAAUUCUCUAUAUAAAGGGCUCCUAUCAAUGAAUGAGAUACACAUCUUUCACGAUUCUCUAUUCUCAAUUUACUUUCACUUCAUCACGUUAUCAGCCCUUUGCUCAAACCCUUGAGCUAAUAGUUUUUCCCAAACCCUAAAACCAAAAGCCGAAAACCCUCGGCCCUUCCUCGGCCGCCGCCGCCGCCGCUGCUGCCGUCGCCGUCGUUGCCCACGACUGCCGCUCCCCGGCCAUCCGCUCCACUGCUUCCUUCUCGUCCGAUCAAGCAUCCAAGUUUUACGGUAUGUUUACUUUACAACCCUAAAACUCUUCAAAGUUCAAUAACCUCGGGGGAGAUAAAGUGUUUUCUCCUCUUCUUCUACUCCAUUCUAUGCUUGGGACGGUGUCUUUGCAGGUUUAAAAAUCCCGGUUAUCCUCCCCGGGUCCAAAGUUGUGUUUGAUGAACUUUGGUUAUUGCUAUUUUGAAGGUGUGUUUGAUCACCUUCACACAAGUUUUUUCCGAGUCGUGUUUGAUCGACUCCGGACAUUUAGGGUUGUGUUUGAUCAACCCUAGAGAGACAAACCAAAAGCAUCGUAUUUGAGUACCUUUUUCAGGGUCUCCAACAGAAAACUAAUACGACUUGUUCUCUCUUGUAUGCAGAUGGACAGAGCAUUGAAUUUGACGUCCUCGACGCCCAUGGUACCGAGUACCAUCGUUGGGUCUCGGACAUAGAACAGACCUUCAUCGCUAAGGAUCU